rnacentral:rRNA from 1 species
CCGGCGCACGGGUGAGUAACGCGUAUGCGACCUGCCCGUUGCAGGGGGGAUAAUCGGGAGAAAUCCCGUCUAAUACCGCGUAACGCCGCGGGGCUGCAUGGCCCUGCGGCCAAAGGGAGCGAUUCCGGCAACGGAUGGGCAUGCGUGACAUUAGCUAGUUGGCGGGGCAACGGCCCACCAAGGCGACGAUGUCUAGGGGUUCUGAGAGGAAGGUCCCCCACACUGGUACUGAGACACGGACCAGACUCCCUACGGGAGGCAGCAG